GGCUCUAUAGUGUAAUGGUUAGCAUGUCUGCUUUACACACAGAAGGUCCUGGGUUCGCGCUCCAGGUGGAGCCA
rfam:Pteropus alecto contig14756, whole genome shotgun sequence.